rnacentral:rRNA from 1 species
GGGUUGUGAGGUUAAGCGACUAAGCGUACACGGUGGAUGCCCUGGCAGUCAGAGGCGAUGAAGGACGUGCUAAUCUGCGAUAAGCGUCGGUGAGGUGAUAUGAACCGUUAUAACCGGCGAUUUCCGAAUGGGGAAACCCAGUGUGUUUCGACACACUAUCAUUAACUGAAUCCAUAGGUUAAUGAGGCGAACCGGGGGAACUGAAACAUCUAAGUACCCCGAGGAAAAGAAAUCAACCGAGAUUCCCCCAGUAGCGGCGAGCGAACGGGGAGGAGCCCAGAGCCUGAAUCAGUGUGUGUGUUAGUGGAAGCGUCUGGAAAGGCGUGCGAUACAGGGUGACAGCCCCGUACACAAAAAUGCACAUAUUGUGAGCUCGAUGAGUAGGGCGGGACACGUGGUAUCCUGUCUGAAUAUGGGGGGACCAUCCUCCAAGGCUAAAUACUCCUGACUGACCGAUAGUGAACCAGUACCGUGAGGGAAAGGCGAAAAGAACCCCGGCGAGGGGAGUGAAAAAGAACCUGAAACCGUGUACGUACAAGCAGUGGGAGCCUCUUAAUGGGGUGACUGCGUACCUUUUGUAUAAUGGGUCAGCGACUUAUAUUCUGUAGCAAGGUUAACCGAAUAGGGGAGCCGAAGGGAAACCGAGUCUUAACUGGGCGUUAAGUUGCAGGGUAUAGACCCGAAACCCGGUGAUCUAGCCAUGGGCAGGUUGAAGGUUGGGUAACACUAACUGGAGGACCGAACCGACUAAUGUUGAAAAAUUAGCGGAUGACUUGUGGCUGGGGGUGAAAGGCCAAUCAAACCGGGAGAUAGCUGGUUCUCCCCGAAAGCUAUUUAGGUAGCGCCUCGUGAAUUCAUCUCCGGGGGUAGAGCACUGUUUCGGCAAGGGGGUCAUCCCGACUUACCAACCCGAUGCAAACUGCGAAUACCGGAGAAUGUUAUCACGGGAGACACACGGCGGGUGCUAACGUCCGUCGUGAAGAGGGAAACAACCCAGACCGCCAGCUAAGGUCCCAAAGUCAUGGUUAAGUGGGAAACGAUGUGGGAAGGCCCAGACAGCCAGGAUGUUGGCUUAGAAGCAGCCAUCAUUUAAAGAAAGCGUAAUAGCUCACUGGUCGAGUCGGCCUGCGCGGAAGAUGUAACGGGGCUAAACCAUGCACCGAAGCUGCGGCAGCGACACUAUGUGUUGUUGGGUAGGGGAGCGUUCUGUAAGCCUGUGAAGGUGGCCUGUGAGGGUUGCUGGAGGUAUCAGAAGUGCGAAUGCUGACAUAAGUAACGAUAAAGCGGGUGAAAAGCCCGCUCGCCGGAAGACCAAGGGUUCCUGUCCAACGUUAAUCGGGGCAGGGUGAGUCGACCCCUAAGGCGAGGCCGAAAGGCGUAGUCGAUGGGAAACAGGUUAAUAUUCCUGUACUUGGUGUUACUGCGAAGGGGGGACGGAGAAGGCUAUGUUGGCCGGGCGACGGUUGUCCCGGUUUAAGCGUGUAGGCUGGUUUUCCAGGCAAAUCCGGAAAACCAAGUGCCCUGCUUCCAGGAAAAGCCUCUAAGCAUCAGGUAACAUCAAAUCGUACCCCAAACCGACACAGGUGGUCAGGUAGAGAAUACCAAGGCGCUUGAGAGAACUCGGGUGAAGGAACUAGGCAAAAUGGUGCCGUAACUUCGGGAGAAGGCACGCUGAUAUGUAGGUGAAGCGACUUGCUCGUGGAGCUGAAAUCAGUCGAAGAUACCAGCUGGCUGCAACUGUUUAUUAAAAACACAGCACUGUGCAAACACGAAAGUGGACGUAUACGGUGUGACGCCUGCCCGGUGCCGGAAGGUUAAUUGAUGGGGUUAGCGGUAACGCGAAGCUCUUGAUCGAAGCCCCGGUAAACGGCGGCCGUAACUAUAACGGUCCUAAGGUAGCGAAAUUCCUUGUCGGGUAAGUUCCGACCUGCACGAAUGGCGUAAUGAUGGCCAGGCUGUCUCCACCCGAGACUCAGUGAAAUUGAACUCGCUGUGAAGAUGCAGUGUACCCGCGGCAAGACGGAAAGACCCCGUGAACCUUUACUAUAGCUUGACACUGAACAUUGAGCCUUGAUGUGUAGGAUAGGUGGGAGGCUUUGAAGUGUGGACGCCAGUCUGCAUGGAGCCGACCUUGAAAUACCACCCUUUAAUGUUUGAUGUUCUAACGUUGGCCCGUAAUCCGGGUUGCGGACAGUGUCUGGUGGGUAGUUUGACUGGGGCGGUCUCCUCCUAAAGAGUAACGGAGGAGCACGAAGGUUGGCUAAUCCUGGUCGGACAUCAGGAGGUUAGUGCAAUGGCAUAAGCCAGCUUGACUGCGAGCGUGACGGCGCGAGCAGGUGCGAAAGCAGGUCAUAGUGAUCCGGUGGUUCUGAAUGGAAGGGCCAUCGCUCAACGGAUAAAAGGUACUCCGGGGAUAACAGGCUGAUACCGCCCAAGAGUUCAUAUCGACGGCGGUGUUUGGCACCUCGAUGUCGGCUCAUCACAUCCUGGGGCUGAAGUAGGUCCCAAGGGUAUGGCUGUUCGCCAUUUAAAGUGGUACGCGAGCUGGGUUUAGAACGUCGUGAGACAGUUCGGUCCCUAUCUGCCGUGGGCGCUGGAGAACUGAGGGGGGCUGCUCCUAGUACGAGAGGACCGGAGUGGACGCAUCACUGGUGUUCGGGUUGUCAUGCCAAUGGCACUGCCCGGUAGCUAAAUGCGGAAGAGAUAAGUGCUGAAAGCAUCUAAGCACGAAACUUGCCCCGAGAUGAGUUCUCCCUGAGGACCCCAUGCC